ensembl:snRNA U6 U6 spliceosomal RNA
UGCUCUCUCUGGCAGUGCCAUAUGCUAAAAUUGGAAGAAUACAGAGACUGGCAUGGCCCCUGUGCAGGGAUGACACACAUAUUUGUCAAGUGUUCAAUAUUUUA